rnacentral:tRNA from 3 species
UCGAAAUCGGGUAGACGCUACGGACUGAAAAUCCGUUGGCUUUUUAGACCGUGAGGGUUCAAGUCCCUCUACCCCCA